rnacentral:rRNA from 1 species
UAGGGAAUCUUCCACAAUGGGCGAGAGCCUGAUGGAGCAACGCCGCGUGUGUGAUGAAGGCUUUCGGGUCGUAAAGCACUGUUGUAUGGGAAGAACAGCUAGAAUAGGAAAUGAUUUUAGUUUGACGGUACCAUACCAGAAAGGGACGGCUAAAUACGUGCCAC